UCAACGGAGAGUUUGAUUCGGGCUCAGGACGAACGCUGGCGGCGUGCUUAACACAUGCAAGUCGAACGAUGAAGCCUAGCUUGCUAGGUGGAUUAGUGGCGAACGGGUGAGUAAUACGUGAGUAACCUACCUUUAACUCUGGGAUAAGCCUGGGAAACUGGGUCUAAUACCGGAUACGACCAAUCUCCGCAUGGGGUGUUGGUGGAAAGCGUUAUGUAGUGGUUAUAGAUGGGCUCACGGCCUAUCAGCUUGUUGGUGAGGUAACGGCUCACCAAGGCGACGACGGGUAGCCGGCCUGAGAGGGUGACCGGCCACACUGGGACUGAGACACGGCCCAGACUCCUACGGGAGGCAGCAGUGGGGAAUAUUGCACAAUGGGCGCAAGCCUGAUGCAGCGACGCCGCGUGAGGGAUGACGGCCUUCGGGUUGUAAACCUCUGUUAGCAGGGAAGAAGAGAAAUUGACGGUACCUGCAGAGAAAGCGCCGGCUAACUACGUGCCAGCAGCCGCGGUAAUACGUAGGGCGCGAGCGUUGUCCGGAAUUAUUGGGCGUAAA
rnacentral:rRNA from 1 species